rnacentral:rRNA from 1 species
GUCGACGGCAGCACAGUAAGAGCUUGCUCUUAUGGGUGGCGAGUGGCGGACGGGUGAGGAUACAUCGGAAUCUACCUUUUCGUGGGGGAUAACGUAGGGAAACUUACGCUAAUACCGCAUACGACCUUCGGGUGAAAGCAGGGGACCUUCGGGCCUUGCGCGGAUAGAUGAGCCGAUGUCGGAUUAGCUAGUUGGCGGGGUAAAGGCCCACCAAGGCGACGAUCCGUAGCUGGUCUGAGAGGAUGAUCAGCCACACUGGAACUGAGACACGGUCCAGACUCCUACGGGAGGCAGCAGUGGGGAAUAUUGGACAAUGGGCGCAAGCCUGAUCCAGCCAUACCGCGUGGGUGAAGAAGGCCUUCGGGUUGUAAAGCCCUUUUGUUGGGAAAGAAAAGCAAUCGAUUAAUACUCGGUUGUUCUGACGGUACCCAAAGAAUAAGCACCGGCUAACUUCGUGCCAGCAGCCGCGGUAAUACGAAGGGUGCAAGCGUUACUCGGAAUUACUGGGCGUAAAGCGUGCGUAGGUGGUUGUUUAAGUCUGUUGUGAAAGCCCUGGGCUCAACCUGGGAAUUGCAGUGGAUAC